rnacentral:rRNA from 1 species
GAUGAACGCUGGCGGCGUGCCUAGUACAUGCAAGUCGAGCGAACGGACGAGAAGCUUGCUUCUCUGAUGUUAGCGGCGGACGGGUGAGUAACACGUGGAUAACCUACCUAUAAGACUGGGAUAACUUCGGGAAACCGGAGCUAAUACCGGAUAAUAUUUUGAACCGCAUGGUUCAAAAGUGAAAGACGGUCUUGCUGUCACUUAUAGAUGGAUCCGCGCUGCAUUAGCUAGUUGGUAAGGUAACGGCUUACCAAGGCAACGAUGCAUAGCCGACCUGAGAGGGUGAUCGGCCACACUGGAACUGAGACACGGUCCAGACUCCUACGGGAGGCAGCAGUAGGGAAUCUUCCGCAAUGGGCGAAAGCCUGACGGAGCAACGCCGCGUGAGUGAUGAAGGUCUUCGGAUCGUAAAACUCUGUUAUUAGGGAAGAACAUAUGUGUAAGUAACUGUGCGCAUCUUGACGGUACCUAAUCAGAAAGCCACGGCUAACUACGUG